rnacentral:misc_RNA from 1 species
UUAUACAGUGUUAUAGGGAUCACAUUCGUUUAGUUUAUGGCUAUCGCAUUUUGUUCAGUAGUAUUAUUAAAGCGAAAAAUUGUAACAUCUGGAGCGUUUUCGAGAGACAAUAAUAACUGUAUUCUUCCGCGUGCAGCAGUUGCUUCCUCUUGACGCCAUGUUCUUACGUGGAGUGGUUGAUCUGGUGGAGGUUGACUCGUGAAAAGCGUUUAAUUUGAGUUUGUUACUAGUUUGACUUUAUUUUGAACUUGAACCGUGUUUUAAAAAAAAAGAGUGCGAAAUGGGAAGGUCGGAUAGAAGAGACAGAGACAGGGACCGGGACAGGGAUCGAGAUAGGGACAGGGACAGAGACAGGUCUCGUGACAGGGGCCGAGACCGAGACAGGGACAGAGAUCGUGAUAGAAGUCGGCGAAGGAGCCGUAGUCGCAGUAGAGAUCGUUAUCGUGAUGACCGAAGAGGUGGUGGUGGACGAGGGAAAAGAAGUCAAGCUGGAGCUAAUCUCCGGAAACCACAUUGGGACCUAAGCAGACUUCAACCUUUUCGCAAAGACUUCUAUGUUCCUCAUCCAGAUGUAGCAAACAGGUCACCACAGGAAGUUGAAGAAUAUAGAAGUUCCAAAGAAAUAACGCUUAAAGGUCGCAAUGUUCCAAAUCCUAUCAGAACAUUUGAUGAAGCUGGUUUCCCAGAAUAUGUACUUAAAGAAAUAAAAAAGCAAGGGUUCUCAGAACCUACAGCUAUCCAAGCUCAGGGUUGGCCCAUUGCAUUGAGUGGAAGAGAUAUGGUGGGCAUUGCGCAAACUGGUUCAGGAAAAACUCUUUCGUAUGUUUUGCCAGCUAUUGUGCACAUAAAUAAUCAGCCUCGUCUUCAGCGUGGGGAUGGACCAAUUGUUCUGAUACUGGCUCCAACUAGGGAAUUGGCACAGCAAAUUCAGCAAGUAGCAAAUGAUUUUGGAGCUUCUUCACAGAUUCGCAACACUUGUGUUUUUGGUGGUGCACCAAAAGCUCCACAGGCAAGAGAUUUGGAGCGAGGUGUAGAAAUUGUCAUUGCAACACCUGGACGCUUAAUCGACUUCCUUGAAAGUGGGAAAACAAACCUAAAGAGGUGCACAUAUCUAGUUUUGGAUGAAGCUGAUAGAAUGCUUGACAUGGGAUUUGAACCACAGAUUCGCAAAAUUGUUGAACAGAUACGGCCUGAUAGACAAACAUUGAUGUGGUCAGCAACAUGGCCAAAAGAUGUCAGAAAUCUAGCAGAAGAAUUUCUCAAAGACUACACGCAGAUUAAUGUUGGCUCACUCCAGUUAUCAGCAAAUCAUAACAUUCUUCAGAUAAUCGAUGUCUGCCAAGAGUAUGAAAAGGAGCAGAAGUUAAGCACGCUAUUAAAAGAAAUAAUGGCUGAGAAAGAGAAUAAAAGCAUAGUGUUCAUAGAAACAAAGAGGCGCGUUGAUGAAAUUACGAGAAAAAUGCGACGUGAUGGGUGGCCAGCAUCUUGCAUCCAUGGAGACAAAUCUCAACCAGAGAGAGACUGGGUUCUUCAAGAAUUUCGCACAGGAAAAUCACCGAUUCUUGUUGCUACUGAUGUUGCUGCUCGAGGCUUAGAGGCACAAGCAAGAUAAUGCAAAGGUGGUUUGCAUUGUCGUUCAGGCUGUGCCUCUCUGGCUUCUCUGCGGGCCACUCGGUAGGCCUGCGGGCCACUCGGUAGGCCCCUGAGAGAAAGCCGAGUAACAGAAGGGGGUUGCACGCCCCCCCGUUCGCCGUCGCAGGUGCAUGCUCCCAACCGAGUUGCUUAAGAUGGCCCAGUUGUAGGGCAGCAGUAAGCAACUUGUGCGGAGUGUGCACCUGACUGCACUACUAGGCCUGUUAGUGGUUCGCACACAGAUGUGGAGGAUGUAAAGUUUGUCAUUAACUUUGACUACCCCUCAAGUUCGGAAGAUUAUGUUCAUCGUAUUGGGAGGACAGGACGAUCUCAAAGAACAGGCACUGCAUAUACCUUUUUUACACCAAGCAAUGCAAGACAAG